rnacentral:rRNA from 1 species
UGCUUGGGAAUUUGCCUUUAGGUGGGGAACAACAGUUGGAAACGACUGCUAAUACCGCAUAUUGUCUACGGACUAAAGAGGGCUUCGGCUCUCGCCUUUAGAGAAGCCCAAGUGGGAUUAGGUAGUUGGUGAGGUAAAGGCUCACCAAGCCCACGAUCCCUAGCUGGUCUGAGAGGAUGAUCAGCCACACUGGGACUGAGACACGGCCCAGACUCCUACGGGAGGCAGCAGUGGGGAAUUUUCCGCAAUGGGCGAAAGCCUGACGGAGCAACGCCGCGUGAGGGAUGAAGGCCUCUGGGC